CCUACGGGUGGCAGCAGUGAGGAAUAUUGGUCAAUGGCCGGAAGGCUGAACCAGCCAUGCCGCGUGAAGGGCAGGGGCCUAGGGGCGUUAAACUUCUUUUGUGCGGGAGCAAGAAUGGUCACGUGUGGCCAGACGAGAGUACCGUACGAAAAAGCAGCGGCUAACUCCGGGCCAGCUGCCGCGGUAAGACGGGGGAUGCAAGCGUUAUCCGGAUUUAUUGGGUUGAAAGGGGGCGGAGGCUGUGCGGUAAGUCAGCGGUGAAAGGCCCCCGCUCAACGGGGUGAAGUGCCAUUGAUACUGCCUUGCUGGACUGCGGAUGCCGUUGGUGUCAUGUGUGGUGUAGC
rnacentral:rRNA from 1 species